AACCAUCUGCAUUCAUUUUAUGGCUUUGAAACAGUUCAUUUUUUGAUACCUUCAUUUUGUGGCCUAAUUCUUUGAUUGGUUUUUGAAGAGGUGGAUGAUUUGUUUGUGAGGAAAGAAAGCUUAAGCGAAGAGAAAAAUGGCAAGCCAAGCAGCUGCUUCUUUCAAUGGCAACUUGAAGGCAUGAUCAAUUAAGGAAAGAAUGCAAUUUGAUAUUCAUGCAGAAGGCACUUGCUGGCCUGAGAUGUACUAAUCUGGAAGGUCUUCGUUGGAGAGUGUUUGAUGCUAAAGGCCAGGAGAGAGACAAGAUUCUUGGAAGACUAGCAUCUCAAAUAUCCACUGUGACUCAAGGCAAGGAUAAGCCAACUCACACACCAACUUGUGAUGAUGGUGACGUGUGCAUUGUACUUAAUGCCAAGGAUCUCUCUGUGUCACAGGGAGAAAACUUACUGAUAAGGUUUAUCAUUGCCAAACUCGGAAAGAAGCUUAAAGGACCAGAUGGCCAAAGACCCUACAGAAGUCAUUCGGAAAGCUGUACUACGCAUGCUGCCCAGGAACAAAAUGUGUGAUGUGAGUGUCACAGUAAAAGUUUCUGAAAAAAAUUGACAUUUUCUCAUGGUUUUAGAUGUGUUUUUUCUAUUACUCGAUUAUGGGUUUUAAGAAUUGUAUGGAAUGAUAUCUUCUCUAUCAGUUGAAGCAAUUUGAACUUGUGAACAAUGAUAUUUGUGCUAAUUGGACAUGAAGUGCUUCUGUUUAAGAUCAUAUUUGGUGGUUGGUUUUGUGGAUGCAGGAGAGGGAUAGAAAGCUGAAGAUAUUUGCUGAAAGUGAACACCCCUCUGGCAAUCAGCCCGUUGAACCAUAUGUGAUGCGUCCCCGGACAGUACCUGAAAUGUGGCCACUUGCAAGACGAGCCAUAGUACGAGCUCCAAAUAAAGCUGAACAGCCACUACUCAAUGUUAGUGAUACAUAAAAAGGCAGGAAGAAGGAUAAAGCAGUGAAUGCGUGAAGGGUGGUUUCCCUUCAUAGAAAUAGCGAACAAUUGUAAUUUGACUUUGGCAAUUAUGAUAAUAUUUGAAUAUUGAAUAUUGCUUGGGAAGGAAUCCACUUUGAGCGUGUAGAUAUGCUCCUCCUAUUGUCUCUUGUGUAGAUGCGCCUAAGAAGGUGUCAUUUUACAUUGACU